rnacentral:rRNA from 1 species
AGCGAACGCUGGCGGCAGGCUUAACACAUGCAAGUCGAGCGCCCGUAGCAAUACGGGAGCGGCAGACGGGUGAGUAACACGUGGGAACGUGCCUUUCGGUUCGGAACAACCCAGGGAAACUUGGGCUAAUACCGGAUACGCCCUUACGGGGAAAGAUUAUCGCCGAAGAUCGGCCCGCGUCUGAUUAGCUAGUUGGUGAGGUAACGGCUCACCAAGGCGACGAUCAGUAGCUGGCCUGAGAGGAUGAUCAGCCACACUGGGACUGAGACACGGCCCAGACUCCUACGGGAGGCAGCAGUGGGGAAUCUUGGACAAUGGGCGCAAGCCUGAUCCAGCCAUGCCGCGUGAGUGAUGAAGGCCUUAGGGUUGUAAA